UGGGGAAUAUUGCACAAUGGGGGAAACCCUGAUGCAGCGACGCCGCGUGAGCGAAGAAGGUUUUCGAAUCGUAAAGCUCUGUCCUAUGGGAAGAUAAUGACGGUACCAUAGGAGGAAGCCCCGGCUAACUACGUGCCAGCAGCCGCGGUAAUACGUAGGGGGCAAGCGUUGUCCGGAAUCACUGGGCGUAAAGGGUUCGCAGGCGGAAAUGCAAGUCAGUUGUGAAAGGCAGAGGCUCAACCUCUGUAAGCAAUUGAAACUGUAUUUCUUGAGAUGUGGAGAGGCAAGUGGAAUUCCUAGUGUAGCGGUGAAAUGCGUAGAUAUUAGGAAGAAAACCGGUGGCGAAGGCGACUUGCUGGACACAAACUGACGCUGAGGAACGAAAGCGUGGGUAGCAAACAGG
rnacentral:rRNA from 1 species